rnacentral:rRNA from 1 species
UACGUAGGGGGCAAGCGUUGUCCGGAUUUAUUGGGCGUAAAGAGCGUGUAGGCGGCCAAGCAGGUCCGCUGUGAAAACUCGAGGCUCAACCUCGAGACGUCGGUGGAAACCGUUUGGCUAGAGUCCGGAAGAGGAGAGUGGAAUUCCCGGUGUAGCGGUGAAAUGCGCAGAUAUCGGGAAGAACACCCGUGGCGAAGGCGGCUCUCUGGGACGGUACUGACGCUGAGACGGCGAAAAGCGUGGGGAGCGAACAGG